rnacentral:lncRNA from 1 species
CUACAUAAUUUUAUUUUCAUUAUAAUGUUUUGCGGACCGCAACAAGGAAGUGGGUGGCUCAAGAGCCACCAAACCACCGUGGCCCAACAGGCCACUCACCUAACACUACGCGACGCGUUACGAGAAUAUUCCACGAUGGACCCACAUUUAAUACGCUGAGUACGACACGUCAUGCCGACAACGGCUCGUGUCUCCAGGAACUUUGUCCUUCUAUCACUUG